rnacentral:lncRNA from 1 species
AUGGAGAUCCCACUUUAUCCACCCCCACAACUCGAGCCUGUUGGAACAAAGGUGCUUUGUCGCCCUAUCUUAACUAUUUCAUCACUUCUGAAGGUAAAACUGUGGGUUUUGCCACCUGUCAUGAGCAGAAUAAAAGUUCCACCAGGUACUGCCGUAACCAAAUGGAUUCUGGAUGACUGAAAGCUCAACCAAGAGGGCUCCUGUACCAUACAAUCUUUUUGUCUAGAUCUGUGUUUUGAGUUAGAAACCUUAUUAAAUCUGUGGCACAGUCU